UACCUGUCAUUAAAGGCGAACGGUGUCGGGGGUCGUGUAAAGUUAAACUUCCGCCCGUCUUAAAUGACCACAGUUACGUAACUGUGCAGUCAUUGAGAAGUUAUGAUCUUUACUUCCAUUACGGACGGGGCUUAGAAGACAGAUGACCAAGAGCCUGUCCUCGGAUCCUUGGAUGACUUGGAUGUUGUAUUUUGAUGUCUCCUGCCAUCCAUGGCCCACGUCUCCCCUUGAUGACCUUUUAGAGACUCGCUUUGAACAAAGAGCGUGAAAACCUCCUGUGUGCCAGAGAGUAGCGGGGCACUGUGCAUCAAAAUAUCAGCGCAGGUUGAAAGGCACAAAAUAAGGUCAGUGUCACCGCAUUGCAUUAUUAAUAUCCC